rnacentral:rRNA from 1 species
UACCAGCUCCUCGAGUGGUCGGGGCGAUUAUUGGGCCUAAAGCAUCCGUAGCCGGUUCAGUAGGUCUUCUGCUAAAUCCAGUCGCUUAACGAUUGGCAUACAGGAGAUACCGCUGGACUAGGAGGCGGGAGAGGUGGACGGUACUCCACGGGUAGGGGUAAAAUCCUUUGAUCCGUGGAAGACCACCAGUGGCGAAGGCGGUCCACCAGAACGCGCUCGACGGUGAGGGAUGAAAGCUGGGGGAGCGAACCGG